UUUUUCACAGAAACAGAAGUAUUUUUCAAAGAGAAGGCACUGCUCAGAGGGGUGGACUUCUGUUUGCUGUGGACCAUCUCAGACCUCAGUUUAACUCUUCCUGAGUAUCCAUAGCUCCAGAGGCAGUGAGGCUGCUCAUUCAAGCUGCUGUUGCAGAACGUGCAGAUAUUCACUGCACGUUUCUGGAACUCCUCUCUCCCUUCACCCGUCUUAGUGAGAUGCUUUAAAGGGCCAUUGUUCAAAGAAAUUUUAAUAGAAUGUAACCAAACAGCAACAAAAAUCAGGAUCUUUGAUAUCACUGGAGUACAUCAGCAACUGAAAAUAAAGAGCGAGAUGCUUGGCAUGGGGGUGCACACAACCUGUUACAAGUCUUUUCACACAGGGCCAGGUGCCACAGGGAAAGCCGGGAGAGAAACAACCGUUCACUGCGGACAAAGCUAUAAGACUGAAUUCCUGCCUGGAAAACCUCUGCAACUACAGUCAAGUGACAACACCUUUCCGUUGAAGCAGUUUCACACGUGCCAGAAACUGCUACACAAUGCCAUAAGCAGCAAAGAAGCUGAGCAGGAGGUGACUUGAAACAGAGAUCCAUCACCAUGUCUGGAAGUGAAGAGGAUGUAUGGUGGGGGUCAGCUUACUUACCAAGAUCACAUAGCCUAAAGAAAGUGGACUUGGAUCUUCAGCAAGUCUAAGAUGAAUACUGCUCUUCUCCUUAUAGCAACUAGCCCUAAACACAAAGCCAAUACCUCAUUAGAAGACUCCCUUGUACGGAGAAAAUAAGCUGCUUCUUCACCUAGAUACCCAAGUGACUGAUCACUGAGAGGGCACCUUGUAGGGUGACACCAAAUGAUCAGUGAACAGAAAUAGGAGUCCAAAACUAUUUAGCUAUUUGUAAUAUUCAGCUACAGACACAGGCUCAUCUAGUCCAGAUGCUUGAGAACACUGAAGUUACAGCCAACCCAGAGUCUGCUUUUGUUUAAGACAGCCUUUGGUACCUAAACAGAUUUGAGGCUGUUGGAAGACCACCUGUGUGUGUUGGUGCUAACUUCAAAGAGGGCUGAGACGUGAUCCCAGAGAAAACCAGAACUGGUAUGUACAAGAGUCCUUCCACUGCAGGCACAAAGUGUGUGUCCCCAAACGUGUCACGUUCAAUAAGAAAGGCUCUGGUGGAAAGAUGGAACUAGUACAUCAGGGCUUUGUAUCAUCUGAAAACAGUCUUUUCCUAAGGUAAUGUUGGCUAGGGACUUUUUUGAGUAGAUGGGGCCUCAGAGCUGACAAACGUAACUAGUGUGUCAAUGUGCUAAUGAAGUUAGUCGUGCAUUGUUUGGAAAAUGGUACGUUUCCUCACAAGAUUUGCAAUUAAACAUCUAACAGAAAAUAAUGAUUUCCUUGCAGGCACUUAGGCACCAAAUAUAAAGACACAGAGGGAGAGCUAACCAGUGAAAGUACCUGCUAAAUACCACUAUUGAAAGCCACAGCUAUUUAUGAGUCUUUGUAUUCACUGUUGAUUGUAAGAACUAUAAAAUUAAAGUAUCCAGUGGGAG
rnacentral:lncRNA from 7 species